CCCUUAGAUGUCCUGGGCCGCACGCGCGCUACACUGAUGCAUUCAACGAGUUUUACCUUGGCCGAGAGGCCUGGGCAAUCUUUUAAACCUGCAUCGUGAUAGGGAUAGAUUAUUGCAAUUAUUAAUCUUGAACGAGGAAUUCCUAGUAAACGCAGAUCAUCAAUCUGCAUUGAUUACGUCCCUGCCCUUUGUACACACCGCCCGUCGCACCUACCGAUUGAAUGGUCCGGUGAAGCCUCGGGAUUGUGGCCAGUUCACUUUAUUGGGAGUUGGCUGCGAGAACUUGUCUAAACCUUAUCACUUAGAGGAAGGUGAAGUCGUAACA
rnacentral:rRNA from 1 species